ACUAAACAGCUAGCUCAACCAUCAGAAUAUAACAAUAAGAUAUAAAUAAUUUUACAAAACCCCAAUAAAAAAACUAAACCAUUCGAC
rnacentral:rRNA from 1 species